UUAUGUGAUCGUCUCUCGCAUAUCAAUAAGCGGAGGAAAAGAAACUAACAAGGAUUCCCCUAGUAACGACGAGUGAAGCGGGAAGAGCUCAAAUUUGAAAUCUUAAAGGGUUUCCCUUUACGAAUUGUAGUUUAAAGAAGUGUUUUUCUGUUGAGGUUUUGGUAAAAGUUCUUUGGAAUAGGACAUCAUAGAGGGUGAGAAUCCCGUAUUUGACCUUUACUUUCAACUUUGUGAUACACUUUCAAAGAGUCGGAUUGUUUGGGAAUGCAGUCCAAAAUGGGUGGUAAAUUUCAUCUAAAGCUAAAUAUUGGCGAGAGACCGAUAGCGAACAAGUACCGUGAGGGAAAGAUGAAAAGAACUUUGAAAAGAGAGUUAAACAGUACGUGAAAUUGUCAAAAGGGAAGCGUUUGACACCAGUGUUGUUUUUCUGAAAAUCAAUUAAAGAACUGUUUAUGCUAAGCUGUUUAGACUUUAUCAGCUAUCUGUUUAAGUUUUGAGCUUUUCUUUAAUGCACUUUUCAGUUAACAAGUCAACAUCAAUUUCUUUUGCUGUAAAAAAGCUUGAGGAAGGUGGCUUGAGAUUCGUCUUAAGUGUUUAUAGCCUCUUGCCUAUGCAGUCGGAGAGAUUGAGGUCUGCAGCGUAGAUCCUUCGGGGCUAAAUGCAUUCGUGCUAAGUUAUAACAUUUUAUAGACAACUUGUUGACUAUGAUUUGUCUUGUAGCUUACUCGCUUAUGUUAUUUUACCUACGCUUAGGAUGUUGAGUAGCGACAUACGCAC
rnacentral:rRNA from 1 species